UGGUUAGCGGCGGACGGGUGAGUAACACGUGGGCAACCUGCCUGUAAGACUGGGAUAACACCGGGAAACCGGUGCUAAUACCGGAUAAUCCUUUUCCUCUCAUGAGGAAAAGCUGAAAGUCGGUUUCGGCUGACACUUACAGAUGGGCCCGCGGCGCAUUAGCUAGUUGGUGAGGUAACGGCUCACCAAGGCGACGAUGCGUAGCCGACCUGAGAGGGUGAUCGGCCACACUGGGACUGAGACACGGCCCAGACUCCUACGGGAGGCAGCAGUAGGGAAUCUUCCACAAUGGACGAAAGUCUGAUGGAGCAACGCCGCGUGAGCGAUGAAGGCCUUCGGGUCGUAAAGCUCUGUUGUUAGGGAAGAACAAGUACCGGAGUAACUGCCGGUACCUUGACGG
rnacentral:rRNA from 1 species